UACGUAGGGGGCAAGCGUUGUCCGGAGUUACUGGGCGUAAAGCGCACGCAGGCGGUCUGCUAAGUUUGGAGUGACAGUUGGUGGCUCAACUACCAAAGUGCUUUGAAAACUGACAGACUUGAGGGCUUCAGAGGGACACGGAAUUCCGGGUGGAGUGGUGAAAUGCGUAGAGAUCCGGAGGAACACCAAAGGCGAAGGCAGUGUCCUGGGGAGUACCUGACGCUCAGGUGCGAAAGCCAGGGGAGCGAACGGG
rnacentral:rRNA from 1 species